rnacentral:lncRNA from 1 species
UUUACAAGAAAAACCUCUACUUCUGCCUUUAUUAUGAAGAAAAAUCUGAAGAAACAUAAAAUCGCUAAAUCCGGUCUCUGAAUUGAGGUGACUAGUCUUUAAUGCAAGAACAAUCCAAUCUACAAAACCUCACCCAGAGUAUCUGAAGAUAGACAGUAUAAACACAAAGGCUUGUGUUUUUAAAUAUAUUUCUCCAGUCAAAUUUUUCUGCAGGAAUAGCCACAGCAAUCAUGAUCCAUAAAUAUUUUCAGUUACUUUCAUUUUCAGUACUAGCCAAUUGGAGUUUGUCAAACCAUCGUUAGUCGGAAAAAAAAAAUGGAAUCAGCUAGAGUAACAUGUAAACCCAAUUUAGAACUAAAUUCCAACUUUUAAAAAGUUCCCUGAUUCAUCAAAAGUAGAUUUCAUCCAUUUAGGCUGAACAGUAAAACUGGAACUCAUUUUUUGACUUAAUAAAGAAUAUCUUCAGCAAAAGUUGAUUACCUUAUAUGAAACUGAGAAAUCAUGUAUCACAACUUUAAAUCAGACAAGAACUUUUGGUAUGUUCUUAAAAUUAUAUAAAAAUAGUUUUAGUGAUUAUAUGCAUUGGUCCCCUGGAUUUCAUAAAGCAGAUCUGGUAGGCUUGUAAAUGGCCAAAAAAAAAAAGUAAAAGUACCUGAUCAUAGAGCUAGAGAUUAUUAAACAGGAAACAUAACACAAUUAUAAAACAAACCUCUCAAACUCACUCAUUUGCUUUGAUGAAAUCAUGGUAACUACAGAAAAAACUCAAAUUUGGACUCAAAAUAUUAACCUCUAAACAAUAUUUUCCCCAUGUUGUUUUUAAACACAUGAAAUUGACACUAAAUUCCUAUGAAGUAUGUCAUUCAUUCUAAAAUUACUUUGGC